AACCCUGAGACCAACCCUGCCGAUGAAGUCUUGCUUCUGAAGCGGGAAGAGAGAGAGGAAAAACAAAAACAAAAACAAAAAACAAAAAAAUGGCACCAGCCAAGAAGGGCAAGGCCAAGGCCAAGGCCAACCCGGCCGAGUCAACUCAGCCCGUAAACCCCAACAACAAUUUCCCAACCUCUAUUCGGUACAUACCUCCCUCCUCAGUCGCCAUAACCAUACACGCCAAGCCUGGUUCCAAAAUCGCCUCCAUCACUGAUUUCAGUGAUGAGGCGUUGGGGGUGCAAAUAGACGCGCCUGCGAAGGACGGGGAAGCUAAUGCAGCCCUACUCGACUACAUCAGCUCGGUUUUAGGGGUAAAAAGAAGGCAGGUUUCUAUUGGUUCUGGCUCCAAAUCAAGAGACAAGGUUGUUAUUGUGGAGGAGAUGACUCUACAAAGUGUUUUUGACAUCCUGGACAAAGCUUCGAAGUCCACCUAAUAGAGUGAGAGAUGAAUUUGAUCCUUGAAUGAGACGUGAAGCUUGAUUGUACUGUAGCAGCUAACUGAGUCGCUUGUGUUUAUUGGAAAUUGUCUUGUUGAUGUUCCAGGUAAGGCACAUUCUUACGUUCCCCACCUUAGUUAAUAUAAAUUUAGUACAUUGGAUUUGUUCUUAUUGGUCCUCUUUAGCUCCCUUUCAUUUUGGGGGGGAAAAAAAAAGUUGGAACUGGUGUGAAAAAACGAUAACAUUCUUCUUGUACAAGAAUUGUAUGGAAACCAUCUAGUUUAGAUUAUUUUAAACUAAAUGCUGAGGCAUGUCUGUAAUAUGGUCACGCUGCUACUGAUUUGUUAUUCAUAAUGACUCAAGGAAUGUAUGUAUUUUUUUUUUUUUUGGG